AGCAGCCGCGGUAAUUCCAGCUCCAAUAGCGUAUAUUAAAGUUGUUGCAGUUAAAAAGCUCGUAGUUGAAUUUCGGGAUCAGACUGUCGGUCGUGCCUCGGUACGCACUGGCAUUAUUGGUUCCUACCUUCUGAAGAACCGCGAUGUCAUUAAUUUGGUGUCGUGGGGAAUCAGGACUGUUACUUUGAAAAAAUUAGAGUGUUUAAAGCAGGCUUACGCUUGAAUACAUUAGCAUGGAAUAAUGAAAUAGGACGUUUGAUUCUAUUUUGUUGGUUUCUAGGAUCGACGUAAUGAUUAAUAGGGAUAGUUGGGGGCAUUAGUAUUCAAUUGUCAGAGGUGAAAUUCUUGGAUUUAUUGAAGACUAACUACUGCGAAAGCAUUUGCCAAGGAUGUUUUCAUUAAUCAAGAACGAAAGUUAGGGGAUCGAAGACGAUCAGAUACCGUCGUAGUCUUAACCAUAAACUAUGCCGACUAGGGAUCGGAUGAUGUUAAUUUUAUAAUGACUCAUUCGGCGCCUUACG
rnacentral:rRNA from 1 species